UACGUAGGUGGCAAGCGUUGUCCGGAAUUACUGGGCGUAAAGCGCGUGUAGGCGGGAGGCCAAGUCUGCUGUGAAAUCGCUCGGCUCAACUGGGCGAGGUCGGUGGAAACUGGUCCGCUGGAGGACGGUAGAGGCGAGUGGAAUUCCCGGUGUAGUGGUGAAAUGCGUAGAGAUCGGGAGGAACACCAGUGGCGAAGGCGACUUCCUGGCCUGUUCUUGACGCUGAGGCGCGAAAGCUAGGGGAGCAAACGGG
rnacentral:rRNA from 1 species